rnacentral:rRNA from 1 species
GCCAUGCCGCGUGUAUGAAGAAGGCCUUCGGGUUGUAAAGUACUUUCAGUUGUGAGGAAGGGUGUGUAGUUAAUAGCUGCGCAUCUUGACGUUAGCAACAGAAGAAGCACCGGCUAACUCCGUGCCAGCAGCCGCGGUAAUACGGAGGGUGCGAGCGUUAAUCGGAAUUACUGGGCGUAAAGCGCAUGCAGGUGGUUCAUUAAGUCAGAUGUGAAAGCCCGGGGCUCAACCUCGGAACUGCAUUUGAAACUGGUGAACUAGAGUACUGUAGAGGGGGGUAGAAUUUCAGGUGUAGCGGUGAAAUGCGUAGAGAUCUGAAGGAAUACCAGUGGCGAAGGCGGCCCCCUGGACAGAUACUGACACUCAGAUGCGAAAGCGUGGGGAGCAAACAGGAUUAGAUACCCUGGUAGUCCACGCCGUAAACGAUGUCUACUUGGAGGUUGUGGCCUUGAGCCGUGGCUUUCGGAGCUAACGCGUUAAGUAGACCGCCUGGGGAGUACGGUCGCAAGAUUAAAACUCA